rnacentral:lncRNA from 1 species
UACGGUAUGCGUUUUACACUUGUAGCACAUCUCAAUUCAGAUUAGCCACAUUUCAAGUGUUGUAUGGCUACACACAAGUCAGCACACAUGGCCACAGCUACCUUAUUGGACGUUAAAGGCAUAGUCGUCUCCACAAGAAAAUGGUAACAGCAGUCACCUCUGGAGAGAAGAACCUCUCUGGAUACCUGGGUAAGAGGAAGAACUGCUCUUCAUUCUAUGCCUUUUUGAGCUUUUCAAAUUUCAUGCCUUGUGCAUUGCCUUUUCUGAAUAAAAUGAGUAAAACAGUUUUACAGCAAUUCUUUACAGUAACUUCUUAUUCACUCUGCCAUACAAAUAGGGACGGAUGAUUCAUACAAUGUGAGGACAAUUAUCAGCAACCAAUGACUCUUUCUUACUCCCUGGAGUCUUGUCAUUGCUUAGUAAUUUAAGGAAUCCGUCUCAGGGACAAGCAACAGUUUGCCACUGAGAGAAUGGAGUCAGGUUGGGGACACAUUCCCAAACUGGAAAUUCAUCAAAUUAGAAACAGGGUUUUGUAACUAAUUUAUAGCUGAGAAAAUGAAAUACGAAAGGAUCCUAGCUGGUGGGGAUCCUCUCACACAUCCCUACCAUGAGCUCAGAGAAGCCUCCAUGUCAGGACACAGCCGGAAACUGCAGGGGGCACGUGAAGGCAAAGACAGGAAGAAGAGGACAGGAAGGAGAGGUGAGGAAAGAGGAGGUUUCCAUAAACAGGAAACCACCAGGUGGCCUUUUCACCUCUUAAAUCUUGAGGGAGACAAGCGGAGAACCCCACUCCCAACCAAGAGAGAGGACCUACCGUUUCCCAAUCAGCGGAAUGUGGAAAUGCUCAACAGGACUGAAGUGAGGUUAAACUCUCUUCCUCUAAUUCUUCCCCGAGUGGCAAGAAUGUUUUUAUCAUCCCAGAAUGCCCUAUUGGAUACAGCUGCUCCAAACAGUGCUGGAUCUCAGAUUUCUCCACCAUCACCCUUGGCUGACUAGGUCUGGCUCCUCAGAGAUGAAACAGGAUGGGAUAUUCAUUGACUAUUCAGUGUCAUAACGGCAGAGCAACAAGACUGGCAGAGGGAAGCCCUGGUCCCACGAAGGCACAAAUCAUUUCCUCAAAAAGAUUAACCAGAAACAGCACAUGAGCAAGUUUCAAAUCGUCACACCCAUUACAAUAAGGAAGACACAAUUUUCAUUUUUACAUUUUUUAUGACAGCUGUUGGCUCAGGCUAAUCAGAAACUAUCUUUAGAGAGGAGGUAUUUCCCAAGGUCACAUGUUUUAAUAUAAUUAGCGUGAGAUCAAAUGGAUGUUAAGGAGUUGGCAUCCAAAAUCUCCACCACACUACUGGCCUUGUGACCAAAAAAAUCCAAAUUCCAAAACACUUUUGGUCCGAACACUUUCAGAUAAGGGAUACUCAGCCCUUAGUGACUCAGGAAAUAACCCAUGAUAAUAAUAUUACUAUACUACUACUUACCAAUAACAAUGACAACAUAAACAGAAGAAGUCUUAAAUCAGAGGAUAACAGUAAUAGUAAUAGCCUAGUUUUUGUUUCUAGGCCAAGGAUUAUGGUUUAAAAUGGACAUAAGCAGUACCAUUAAGUGGUUUUAUUUCAUAGAAUCUCUAAAUGCAGUAGAAUCACAGGGCUGACAGAAGCCUUAGAGACCACUUCCCCAACUCCCCAUGCAACAUUCAUAUGUCCUGACAGCAGUAACAAGCUCUUCUCCAAACUCUGCUUGAAUAUCUCCACAGAAGAGAAGCUCACCACUCCCACAGAUGCAGCAAUAAGAUGCCAUCUUGGAAGCACAGACGGACCUCUCUCUCGUGAGACAUCAAACCUGCCAGCGCCUUGAUCUUGGACUUUCAGCCUCCAGAACUGUGAAAAAUAAAUUUCUGUUC